GCCCAGCACUAGUAAAUAGUUAUGAAAAGAUUUGUAGGUGUGUGUAUGAUAUCCAAGAUAUGUUCACACAAGUACAUCUUACCAUACGUAACCGUCCUCUUCGACGCCCUACGGCUCCGGCGUCCCCCACUCAGGCGGCCCCCCCCGGAAGAGACAUCGAAGAGGAGACCAUCACCCUGUCAGUAGCCGCGGCGAAAGCGAAGCUGCCCCGACGGGAAGACCCCAGGGAGAUCGAGUUUACCAUCGGGCCCGACCCCAGCAACUACAUCGCUGGUGGGUCAGAUAGGGACGGUUUCUGCCCCGUCUCACCAUCUGCUGGCACCCCCGGGGCCCACUUACUAAAGAGUUUCCUCUCUCUCUGGGUUGUCAUUGCAGCCGCUCCCACCCUCGGCACGACGGUGGACGGCAAUUCGACCCCAGCCACUACAUCGCUAGUGGGUCAGUGUGGCGAGGGGGGCGUGGUCCAGCGAGGUCUGGGGAGAAAGGGACGGGAGAUCGGCGGGAAAGAAGUAGGGCAAAGGAUGAUCAUAAACACCUGUCUCUUGUUUCAGUGAUUGGCGAGAGGAGAAUAAAAGCCAACAAGAGCGGAGGACAAAGGGAGAGAGAAGCGAGGCGAUACAGGACGAGAGACCGAGAGAGCUGGAGCGAGAGAGACCCAGGCUGUAGGGAGAAUACGAGCGAUUGUGCCAGGAGGCCAACUUAAAUAUUAUUUCCUUUUGCUUUGUGUUUUGUUUUUGAGUUAAUAAAUCUCUUACCAGCUACGCCGACCCUGUCUCCUUCCUUCCAUUAUCGCGAAUCGUAUUACAGUGGUGCCGAAACCCGGGAGGAAGGAGAACACCACCGUUAUGCAAACCCCGCCAACCUUGCCGUUUGCGGACGUCAUCUAGGCGCUCGCGGGACUCCACCAGGAGCAUCAUCAGGCUCUGCUGGACCUACAGAAGGAGCAGGAGAAAAGGUUCCACCUGCUCCUCCAGGCCCAGACGGAUGACCGCGAGCUGUUCCGGGGCUGGAUUACCCAGGGUGGGCAAACCGGAGGGACACCAGCGGCCGCCGGCCCGUCGGCUCCCGUGCUGCUGCAUAAGAUGGGGCUUCAGGACGACCCGGAGGCUUUCCUUGAGCUCUUCGAGAGGUCCGCGGAGGUAUCUGGCUGGCCCCGCGGUGGCUGGGCCGCCCGACUUAUUCCAUUGUUGUCAGGGGAAGCCCAGCUCGCGGCUCAACAGCUGCCGGUUCAGAACCUCCUGAACUACACGGACCUCCGGAAGGCGAUCCUCCAGCGUGUCGGACUGACCCCAGAGCAGCAGCGCCAGCGCUUCCGGUCGCUGGAGUUCGGGGAUGGCGGCCAGCCCUUCGUGUUCGCCCAACGGCUCCGGGACGCCUGCCGCAAAUGGUUGCUGGACGACGACGGCGAUGUCGACACGGUCGUGGAGCGGGUAGUACUCGAGCAGUCCGUGGGUCGACUACCCACGGAGACGGCCCGGUGGGUCCAGUGCCACCGGCCGGCAUCGCUGUCCCAGGCCGUCCAGCUGGCGGAGGACCACAUGGCGGCAGGCCGCGGGCUCGGCAUGACGGUGGACGGCAACUCGACGUUGCAUCACGGCAAGGAGCAAUGUUGAGUAUAAUCACCAGCCCUCAGCACUCUCAGUCAGACAGUGCGUUGAGCUGCGUAAUCGCCAGGCAGGAAAAACAGCAGAGCCGAUCUCCUCCCCGGGAGCCUCCCAACGGCGAGGGAUCCGUACUGCUAGCCAUCGAACGAACCCCCCCCCCGCGGGGACAAUGAAGCAAAUCGAACCCCUAGUCCCCCUGUCUCGGUUCCUGGGAGCCUGGCUUCGGCUUCCCAGGCCGUCACGGUGGCUAGGGAAGGCGAUCCAGUUUGCCAGACGCCCGCCCAAGUUUCGGGGCAUCCCCUCUACCUCAACCCUUCUGGCGAAGGAAGCGAUCGAGCCCGUCCCUCCAGCCGAGAUGUUCAACGUGUUUUACAGCCCGUACUUCAUUGUCCCAAAGAAAGGUGUCACCUACACAAGCUGCCAUUCAGGAUGAUAACGCAGAGGCGCAUCCUGACGUCUGUCAGAUGUCAGGAUUGGUUCAUGGCAAUCGACCUGAAGGACGCCUACUUUCAUGUCUUGAUCCUCCCUCGGCUUUCGAGGGGCGGGCAUGUCAGUACAGGGUCCUCCCCUUCGGUCUGUCCCUGUCUCCACGGUUCUUCACGAAGAUCAUGGAAGCCGCCCUCCUUCCCAACAGGGAAAGAGGUGUGCGGGUACUAAACUAUCUCGAUGACUGGCUCAACUUGGCGCACUCGCGAGAUCUGUUGUGUACACACAGGGACCUGGUGCUUUUGUGACCUCAAGACUUGACUACUGUAAUGCACUGCUUAGUGGUUGUCCUGCAGCAUCAAUAAACAAACUGCAGUUAGAUCAGAAUGCAGCUGCCAGAGUUCUAACAAGGUCCAGAAAAUACGAUCACAUAACCCCAAUGUUAUCAACCCUUCACUGGUUACCCAUUAAGUAUCGUAUUAACUUUAAAGUUCUUUUAAUUACUUAUAAAGACUUAAACGGUUUAGCCCCUACCUACAUAACAGAGCUUCUACCACACUACAACCCAUCACGCUCUCUAAGAUCUCAAAACUCCAGACUUUUGAUAACACCUAGAAUAACUAAAUCCACCAAAGGGGGCAGAGCUUUCUCAUACGUAGCACCUAAACUCUGGAAUAGCCUCCCCAAUACUAUUCGAGGGUCAGACACACUCUCCCAAUUUAAAUCUAGAUUAAAGACAUCUUUUCAGCCAAGCAUUCACUAAUACAUAGCUAAUGAACAGCAGCUACGCUAAUUAUUCUCGUUCUGCCCUCGCCUCGGGAUGCCCAUCCCGAGGUAGGGAGAGAUUCCGCCAGGCCCAGAUGAACGUCAUAUGCCCAUCCACAACUAGAGAUUACGCCAGCUACAUCGGAAAAUCCCGUGCCAUCCUCCUGCGAGAGCCUGUGGACUGACUGACCAUCCCAGCUCCAUCCAAGGCAAUUCCAUCACCACCCAAGAAAAAGGCGACCAUCUGGCCGGCCCAGCUCAGACAUUUCCAUCCCCAACCGAGAGCUAAGACGGACUACCUGUCACAUAAAUGCUAAAUUUACAAUACUUGGUAUUUAAUGCUAAACUUACAUCACAUGACAGCAGUUUGAAGUUAUGGCUGCACUCAGUGACUUUGAUUGGAGGUAGCUGGGUGGGUGUUGUAGGGAGUGGGGGGGCUUGUUGGUUGUGGUUCAGGGUGUUUCAUUUGUUGGGACUGUGUGGGUCUGGUCUGGUUGGUCUUGUUUUGUGGUCGAUGUCGGACAACAGAGGAAUAAAGUUAAUUAUGCCAUUACUACUUUUCCCUGGUUGUUCCUCUGUUGUCUGUUGUUGAUCGCGGAAUGGGACUGGGUUGGACCUGCACGGUUUCAGCGGGUGGGGCUUCAUGGGUCGCGGCUCGUGGGCUCUCCCUGUUCUUCGUGGACGUUGCUCGGUGGCUUUGGUCGGGGUCACUGAGUGCAGCUAUGACACGUCAGAGGAGAUCUGGCCCUCCCGGCUGAGCCUGGUUUCUCCCGAGUUUUUUUUUUUCUCCAUUAUUCAUCAUUGGAGUUUGGGUUCCUCGCCACAGCAGAGCAGUGCAGUGUUGGCUUGCUCACCAGGAGACUGCAUUUAUUUAUUUAUUCAUUUAUUUAUUAGAUAUUAUUUAUUAGAAUGAUCUUGCUUGGUCUAUAAACACCAUGCACUGUGCUGUGUUUUACCUUUCUGUGUUUUUCUUAUUUGCUCCUGUAAAGCUACUUUGGAACAAUGCACAUUGUGAAAAGCGCUAUAUAAAUAAAAUUGAAUUGAAUUGAAUUGGUGCUCCGGCAUCUACAUCGUUUGGGACUACAGGUCAACUGGGAAAAGAGCAAGCUCUCCCCCGUGCAGAGCAUCCUCUUUUUCGGUAUGGAAAUCGACUCUGUCUCCAUGACAGCGCGACUGACUAGAAAGCGCGCUCAGUCAGUGUUGAACUGCCUGAAACACUUCAUGUGUCCCCCUGAAACAAUUUCAUAGGCUCCUGGGGCACAUGGCGUCCUCGAGGGGGGCGGUCCCCCUCGGGUUGAUGCACAUGCGACCGCUCCAACACUGGCUGCAGAGUCAGGUUCCCUGGAGAGCGUGGCACACCGGCAGCAGGCGUAUGGUCAUCACGCCUUUUUGCCGACGCACCCUGACCCCCUGGUCUUCAAUGACCUUCUUGCGGACAGGGGUCCCCCUAGGGCAGGUGUCAAGGCACGUCGUGGUAACGACGGAUGCCUCCCUGCAGGGUUAGGGUGCCGUGUGCAACGGGCACGCAGUGUCGGGGCGGUGGACGGGCCCCCGCCUGCGUUGGCAUCAACUGCCUAGAGUUGUUGGCUGUGCUACUUGCACUGAAGGGGCUGCAGCCUCUCGUGCAGGGCAAGCAUGUGACAAAUGGGGGGUGUAAUUAGACUCGGUUCAGGUGCGCUAUAACCAAGUCGCGUUUGUGCUGCCUAGAUGUGCGUCACUAACUUCUGGGUUGCUGCGUAAUCGUCCAAUAGGUAGGAGCUGCUCGCCGGUGAGCUGGUUAGUUUUACAUUAAUGCUAUUGUGUUAUAGGGCUGUUAUUUGUUUAGGUGGAACUAACCAGUAUGCCUGUAGCGAUGGGUGCCGUGGGGUUAUGAGGAGUGUGUGUGUGAUUUCUGCCAGCUGUACAAGUAUGUUGUGAUACCGAGCCUCGUAUGCUGUGUAGUUGUUGUUACUUAUGUUUAUUGUUUUGUCUUUCCACAUAUGUGACCCUGGACGACAAAACCAGUCUUAAGGGUCAAUUUUUCGAAAUUGAGAUUUUUACAUCAUCUGAAAGCUGAAGAAAUAAGCUAUCGAUUGAUAUAUGGUUUGUUAGGAUAGGACACUAUCUGGCGGAACAACAACUAUUUACAAAGCUGGAAUCUGAGGGUGCAGAAAAAUCAAAAUAUUGAGAAAAUCGCCUUUGAAGUUAUUAAUCUGAGGCACUGUAGCAGGCCAUCCACUCACAAAAAGUUUUUUUACAUAUACAAUAGGAAAUUUAUAAAAUAUCUUCAUGGAACACCGUCUUUACUUAAUAUCCUAAUGAUUUUUGGCAAAAAGAAAAAUCAUAAAUUUUUACCCAUACCAUGUAUUUUUGCCGAUUACUAAAAAUGUUCCCGUGCUACUUAAAACUGGUUUUGUUGUCCAGGGUCACAUAUACAUCUGUCCUUAGGCAGGGCCGGAUUAUCCAAUGGGCAUUAUGGGCACAGGCCCAGGGGCCCAUACGUGCUUGGGGCCCAAGAAAGGGGGAGAAACUGUUUUCGCUAUAUUCAUUCUGCCGUGUGCCUCUCUGGCCGCACACACGCAAGUGCGCACACAAAACCGUGUUUCUAACGUACGCAAGUCUGUCUCUUGAUUUAAUAACUUUUACAAGCCCUUUAGCAGCUUUUGUUCAGAAGCACAAUGCGAUAAAUCAAGCGACUUUCCGAUAAACUUUAGCUUUCAGUGGGAAAAUGUCCCCCGCGAGCGCAAGGUCUCUCUUUCCCCGCGCAGGGAUCGUCUCAUUGAGCGGCAGGAAGAAGCAGCACAUUCCACAGGUGACUCCUGAAUAAAAUUAGUACAAAACAGCAUUUCCAACAACCUGUCACUGUUAUCGACUGUUUGAAUGUGUAAACAUGAACCCAUUUCGUCUGUAAAUAUGCACAUGGUUACCAUGACAGAGGCUGUGUGAAAGAAUAUAGCCAAAAUCGCCGCUUUUUAUAGAAACUGAAAAGAUGUAAAUGAGAACGACUUUGUUGUGAAUAUAAGAUAUAGGUUAAGUUAGAAUACCCUCACGGUUGUCUUUAAAAUCUUAAAAAGGUAAGAGUUUUUUUACAUGUAUUUGGUGUGUCUUCGCCAAUAAUUAAUUUUAUAUUGAUGUUGAUCAGGUCUAUCUGCCUUAAUUUACCGAUUUUUAGCCUAAGUUAUUAGAAAAUCCAGAGUGCUUUUACAUACAUUGCAAAAUGUUUACUUACACAGACUCGUAACAGUAUAACUAAUAUUCGUUAAUGCCGUUUACCAUUACACGCUUACAUAAGAACGUGAGUCGCGAAGUGCUUGUUACACAAAUAAAGUUGAACAAAUGGACAAAUUACUCUUAUAGUAUAAUCAUUGACAAAGUCUGCCCUUUUAUUCUUAGAAAAAUGAAUAUGUUUAUGUAUAUGGGGGGGGGGUCUACAAGACACUUGUGGCCAGGGGUCCCUGAAUUCUUAAUCCGGGCCUGUCCUUAGGUGUUUAAUACGCCUGGAGUUCAUUGCGGUGGGCUGACGGAGUGGGUAACUGUUGCGUAUGAGCAGUGGUGGCCGGUCAAUAGGGGGCGCUGGGGCACUGCCCCCUUAAAGUUAGCUAGAGAAGAAAGCUACUUUAAUAUGCCAACAAUAAGUUUAAUAUAUAUCGCAAAUUAAUAACGAAAUACAAUAUUUAGUCGUACUAUUACACCGUUAGUCAUAUUAUCAUUUAUUAAAAAAUCAAAAUUUUAUUUUGUUCAUACGUGUGUGCAGGGCGCCAGACAAACGAGUAGGUGCGCACAUUUUUGAAAAGCAUGUGAUUUGAGGCUGAGCUCUAAUUGGCUUGUUUCAAAUCGUCUAAUUGGCUUGUUUCAAACCCUCCCACUUUUGUUGUAAGCGAAUCAAUAUUGUUUUUAUGUUUUUGGCCUCAUGUGAUUGGACCGUUCUUAACGCCUCUCAUUACCGCUCAGCAGAUUGUCAUUUGACUGACAGGUACUGAUUAAUGUAGAAGCAAGCGAAAUUAUCUCGAGAUAAAAGAAAAUUCGAUUUUAUCUUUACAAGAAUACCCGUUCCAAAGGCGUUCGGAUGAAGAGAAAAAACGGAUCAAGGAGCUUGGAUCUUACACUCGGUGCUUUUCCGGCACUUCUUAUGGAAAACGGAGUUGGCUAGCUAGAUGCAAUGUAAGUCAUGCCUUUUAUUCUUUUCCCUGUUUGCUGUUUCAAAGUCCUGGCACCGAAACGUUCUGGACAACAACAGGGGUUUGCGAUUUAAAACAUCUGAUAAGUGCAAGCGACUUGAAAGUAGCUGCAGCCAUCUUGACAACGCUAUGAGGCUCCAGUUUUUUGGGAAGCUUAGCAUUGCUGAACAGCUAGAUGAAGGCUACAGGAUUGGCAUUAGAAGGCACAAUGAAGAGGUCACAAAAAAUCGACACAUCCUGUCUAGAAUAAUAGACUGUGUAAUAGACUGUCUUUGCGUGGCCACAAUGAGAGCGAAAGCUCAGAUAACCCUGUGAUAUUCAGUGGCUUGGUCGACUUUGUUGCCACUCUUGAUGGAGUUUUGAAAGAGAACCUCGAGAAUGCCACUGUGUUUAAGGGAACUUCGAAAACCGUGCAGAACGAGCUGUUGGACUGUAUGUUGUCUGUUAUGAGGGAACACAUAAUCCAAGAAGCACAAAUCAGCAAUUUUCUAUCAAUCCAGGCCGACGAGACCACCGAUAUUGCCACACAGUGCCAACUUGUGCUUGUGCUGCGCUACAUUGAUGGCAAAAGCAACGUGCAGGAGAGGUUUUUUGCUUUUAUUCAUCUGCAUUCAGCUGAUUCCAUUGCUACAGCACUAAAAGAGCAUCUUACUGUCAUCCUUCCAGAGGAUCAGAAGAGUAAACUCAUCUCCCAAGUGUAUGAUGGAGCCAGCGUGAUGAGGGGUGCCACUGCAGGUGUUCAAAGGAAGAUUCAAGAUGUGUACCCAAAUGCCCAUUACAUCCACUGCUAUGCGCAUCAAUCUAAUAAUGCAAAAGGCCACUUCUCACAUUCCCAAAGUUAGAAUUUAUUUUUCUAACCUUGGAGGAUUUGCCAUCUUUUUUUCAAGAUCACCCAAGCGCACGGAUGUUCUUGAUAAAGUAGUUGCCCAUAGACUACCAACAUCAAGCAGUGUUAGAUGGAACUUCCACAGCCGUGCCAUCAAUACAGUGUUUGAGCACAAAGAGGGCCUCAUUCGCUGUUUUGAAACUAUUCGAGACUCAGGUGACUUUGACCCUGUUACCACCAGAGAGGCAGGAGGCUUUGCCAUACUGCUGGAGGAUCAGGAUUUUAAUUUUUUUCUACAACUUUUCCACAACAUCAUGCCACACGUCGAAAUCCUGUAUGCCAAACUCCAGAAGAAGGACAUAGAUUCAGUCCACAUUAAGGGCAGCAUCCAGCAGGACAUUCAGAAGAUCAGAAAUUCUUUACAUUCUCUGGUUAACCAAAGCAGUGAAGGAGCUUCUCAACCAAAGAGGCGGCGGUCGCUUAGUCCAGAGGUCCAUGAACAGAUUGCAACAGAGGUCUGUGACACCAUACUCCAACACACCAUGAAACGGUUCUGCUUCUGCAUGGAACGGUACACAGUGGCGUUUCCUGAAAUUCACUGAGUAGGACUUUGAAGGCCUAUCCAGUGCUCAAUGGGAGUAAGCUAAAGACAGAGCUUAGUCUCAUUUACUGCAAGGAAGAGUUCAGAACCUGUUGUGGUGCUGUGGACCUACUGCAGCUGUUUAAGGAGAACAAUCUUGAAGAAGUCUUUUCAGACACUGUCACUCUCCUAAAGAUCCUCAUCACCACACCCAUGACCACAGCAGAGGCUGAGAGGUGUUUCUCAACUUUUAAAAGAGUCAAGACUUUUCUGAGAAAUAGCAUGACCCAGGAGAGGCUAAAUGCAUUGGCCAUGCUGUCAAUGGAGAAGAGAAUGGUGACUGAGAUCAUUGACUUUAACCAGAAGGUCAUUGAGAAAUUUGCAAGUCAGAAAGGAGAGCAAAAUGUAUUUUGAAAUAGUGUUACUGGCCAAUGAUUAGGUAACUAUAGUGUGUUGUGUUUUUUUUUUAAUGAUUAUCUUGAUUACUUCAUUACUGAUAAUAAACCCACAUUCAAUUCAAAUUCACUGAUUCAUAGUACAUUUAUUUGCAUGUAUUAACAUUGACUGUAAUACUGAUACAUCACCUGAUUAAUGGCUAUUUAUAGUCCUGCAUUACUGACAGUUGGAUUUUCAGUUUGUUUGCGCUCCCCCAAAUAUUUUUAGCACCAGCCUCCACUGCGUAUGAGGCUUGUAGCUGAAAUAUCUAUACUCUGCUAUGAACUUCCCCUCUAUCAAACAGUCCUUUGUUUUGCUGCGCUGCUAAUCCAGACCGGCGGCUGCUCUGCUUUGCAUCUUUCCCUCUCUGUGCUUCCGCAUGCUAGAGCGGUGUGGAGUAUAUCGUCUGUGGACCGGCUCUACGUUUGUUGACAGCUGCUAAGUGCUACAACUUUUUCCUACUGCUGUGGCCCAACUGUUUCCGCCUGCCAGGAAGAUUUUAAGAUUUACUCCGUGUGCUGAAACGACGCACUGUAGUCACCAUUGUGCUUGUUGUUUGUUUUUUUUAUCAUUAUUUUUUUUCUUGAGGACUUUUUUGCAACAAAGUGUUUCUUUGUUUUUGUUCUUUGUUGGCAUGCAACUGCACUUGUAGCUUUUGGUUUCAGAAGCAUGCUGACCUUGCUGUGGAUGCUAUUUUGUUCUUAAUUGAGAUGCUUUCAAUUAGCAAUGCUCUUGAUGUUCAGUGGUACACCAUGAACUUCUGUGCAGUUGCAAGUAUGUGUUAAGUGAUUUUGUUUUUGUUUUAUUUAUUUUUUCCUUUAGAGUUGGGGUGGCAAUUGACAGGAAGGAUCUACACUUAUUCUUGCUUUUCACUUUUAGGAGGUGGCGCUCGUUACAGUUUGCUGUGCUCCCUAUUGCGUUGCAGUGUGUUUUCUAUGGUGUGAGUGAACAUGUGUUGCGGUGUCCUCUUGUGCUUUCAGACAGAAGAAUAUCGUCGUUCCUCCCAAAGAAGUGAAGCUGCCAAUUCCCCAACUCCUGAGUUUUGUUGACUUUAUUUUUAUUUAUUUAUUCUGUUGUUUAUAACGUGGAGAAAUCCAAGUGUGAU